rnacentral:lncRNA from 1 species
UUGCGCACUGGCUCCGCGUCGGCCGGUCGGUUUGGUCGGUUGUAGUGGCCUCGCCGCCCGGUCCGCUGUCGCAGCGCUCAUCCGCGCCGGGAGCCCUUGGCUGCGUCGCCCGGCAGCCGCGUAAAGACGCUGCGAAUUGACGCCUUUUAUAAUAAAGACACUUAUCUUGCCCAAGAGCUGGGCAGGCUGAUUGGCGCUGGUUUCCAUCUGUCAGAUUGGACAGCAGUACCACUGGCUGUUGGGGGCUCACGACCAGAUAGAGUCUUGUCUGGGAACCACAAGUGAGUGUUGUUACCACAGCUCUGCAGCAGUGAGGGCACCUCUCAAUCCACGUGCAGUCGCCCCACCUUAUCUUCAGGGGAUACGGUCCAACACCCUCAAUGGAUGCCUGAAAUCAAGGAUAGUAGUGAACACUAUAUACACUGUUUUGUUAUGCAUCCUUCCAUAUCUACGAUAAAGUUUAAUUCAUAAACUAGGCACAGGAAGAGAUUAAUAACAGCUAAUAAUAAAAUAGAACAGUCGUAACAAUAUACUGUAAUAAAAGUCAUGUGAAAGUGA